GAUGAACGCUAGCUACAGGCUUAACACAUGCAAGUCGCGGGACCGGCGCACGGGUGAGUAACGAGUAUCCAACCUGCCCUUCACCACGGGCUAACCCGGCGAAAGUAGGACUAAUACCGUAUGGUGAAGGAUGGGGAUGCGUCCGAUUAGGUUGACGGGGGGGGAACGGCCAACCGUGGCUACGAUCGGUAGGGGUUCUGAGAGGAAGGUCCCCCAGACUGGAACUGAGCCACGGUCCAGACGCCUACGGGAGGCAGCAGUGAGGAAUAUUGGUCAAUGGGCGUAAGCCUGAACCAGCCAAGUAGCGUGCAGGACGACGGCCUAUGGGUUGUAAACUGCUUUUAUGCGGGGAUAGGUACCGCAUGAAUAAGGACCGGCUAAUUCCGUGCCAGCCGCCGCGGUAAUC
rnacentral:rRNA from 1 species